UAAGGAAUAUUGGUCAAUGGACGCAAGUCUGAACCAGCCAUGCCGCGUGAAGGAAGACGGCCCUACGGGUUGUAAACUUCUUUUGUACGGGAAAAAACCCUCGCUCGUGAGCGAGGCUGAUGGUACCGUAAGAAUAAGCAUCGGCUAACUCCGUGCCAGCAGCCGCGGUAAUACGGAGGAUGCAAGCGUUAUCCGGAUUCAUUGGGUUUAAAGGGUGCGCAGGCGGAAUGAUAAGUCAGUGGUGAAAUCCUACAGCUUAACUGUAGAACUGCCAUUGAUACUGUUGUUCUUGAGUACACUUGAAGUGGGCGGAAUGUGUCAUGUAGCGGUGAAAUGCUUAGAUAUGACACAGAACACCAAUCGCGAAGGCAGCUCACUAAAUUGUAACUGACGCUCAUGC
rnacentral:rRNA from 1 species